UAUGGGGUGCACAUGUUUUAUAAUAGUGUAAUCAUCAUGUUAUUUUGGUAUAUUGUGCACUGUCAGCCUUACAGAGCUUUGCAAUUUCAGUUUGUGUGUAUUUCUGAUAGAGUACACUGACAAAAAGAAAAUCUGACUUUGACUUUAAAGUCACAUGAUUUCAGGUAAACGAGAACUUACUGUUACACAGUACUUUCACUUUUCUUUUUGAGACCACUAUAAAAAGCAGCUCAGUUUAAUUCUAACCAGACCACACCAGGAGAGAAAAGAUAAGGACAGAGAGGAUGGAGAUGGAAAACUGUGACAAGUCAACAGAUGAAAAGGAGUCAGAAGUUAGGACUGUGCCAAAUGAAAAAGAUGGAUGAAGACAAAGAUGGUGUCGCCAGUGUUAGUGACCAGUCUGAAGAGACAACAGACACAGUUGUGCCUGAACUCACUCUUGUUGUAAUUGGUGACACAUCAUCAAUUAACACUGGACCAAACAACAUCUUAA